GAUGAAGAACGCAGCGAAAUGCGAUACGUAAUGUGAAUUGCAGAAUUCAGUGAAUCAUCGAAUCUUUGAACGCGUAUUGCGCUCUCUGGUAUUCCGGAGAGCAUGCUUGUUUGAGUAUCAGUAAACACCUCAACUUCCAUAUCUUUUUUGAAAUGGGAGUUGGACUUGAGUGAUCCCAACGCUUUUCCUCACCGAAAAGUGGCGGGUUACUUGAAAUGCAGGUGCAGCUGGACUUUUCUCUGAGCUAUAAGCAUAUCUAUUUAGUCUGCCUAAAAACAGAUUAUUACCUUUGCUGCAGCUAACAUAAAGGAGAUUAGUUCUUGUGCUGACUGAUGCAGGAUUCACAAAGACAGGCUUCGGCCGACUUUGUAAACUCGAUCUCAAAUCAAGUAAGACUACCCGCUGAACUUAAGCAUAUCAAUAAGCGGAGGA
rnacentral:misc_RNA from 1 species